UACGUAGGUGGCAAGCGUUGUCCGGAUUUAUUGGGCUUAAAGGGUGCGUAGGUGGUCUAUUAAGUCAGUGCUGAAAUAUCCCGGCUUAACCGGGAGGGUGGCAUUGAUACUGAUGGACUUGAGUAAAGUUGAGGUGGGCGGAAUUGACGGUGUAGCGGUGAAAUGCUUAGAUAUCGUCAAGAACACCUAUUGCGAAGGCAGCUCACUAAGCUUUAACUGACACUGAGGCACGAAAGUGUGGGGAUCAAACAGG
rnacentral:rRNA from 1 species